AUUGAACGCUGGCGGCAGGCUUAACACAUGCAAGUCGAGCGAGCGGCGGACGGGUGAGUAAUGUCUGGGAAACUGCCUGAUGGUGGGGGAUAACCACUGGAAACGUUAGCUAAUACCGCAUACCAUCAGAGGUGCCCAUAUGGGAUUAGCUAGUAGGUGGGGUAAUGGCUCACCAAGGCGACGAUCACUAGCUGGUCUGAGAGGAUGACCAGACAAACUGGAACUGAGACACGGUCCAGACUCCGACGGGAGGCAGCAGUGGGGAAUAUUGCACAAUGGGCGCAAGCCUGAUGCAGCCAUGCCGCGUGUGUGAAGAAGGCCUUCGGGUUGUAAAGCACUUUCGGCGAGGAGGCGUUACUCGCAGAAGAAGCACCGGCUAACUCCGUGCCAGCAGCCGCGGUAAUUC
rnacentral:rRNA from 1 species